GACGAACGCUGGCGGCGUGCCUAAUACAUGCAAGUAGAACGCUGAAGCGAGGAGCUUGCUCUUCUUGGAUGAGUUGCGCACGGGUGAGUAACGCGUAGGUAACCUGCCUUGUAGCGGGGGAUAACUAUUGGAAACGAUAGCUAAUACCGCAUAACAAUGGAUGACCCAUGUCCUUUAUUUGAAAGUGGCAAAUGCUCCACUACAAGAUGGACCUGCGUUGUAUUAGCUAGUAGGUGAGGUAACGGCUCACCUAGGCGACGAUACAUAGCCGACCUGAGAGGGUGAUCGGCCACACUGGGACUGAGACACGGCCCAGACUCCUACGGGAGGCAGCAGUAGGGAAUCUUCGGCAAUAGGGGCAACCCUGACCGAGCAACGCCGCGUGAGUGAAGAAGGGUGUCGGAUCGUAAAGCUCUGUUGUAAGUCAAGAACGAGUGUGAGAGUGGAAAGUUCACACUGUGACGGUAGCUGACCAGAAAGGGACGGCUAACUACGUG
rnacentral:rRNA from 1 species